rnacentral:rRNA from 1 species
GAUGAACGCUGGCGGCGUGCCUAAUACAUGCAAGUCGAGCGAACAGAUAAGGAGCUUGCUCCUUUGAAGUUAGCGGCGGACGGGUGAGUAACACGUGGGUAACCUACCUAUAAGACUGGGAUAACUUCGGGAAACCGGAGCUAAUACCGGAUAACAUUUAGAACCGCAUGGUUCUAAAGUGAAAGAUGGUUUUGCUAUCACUUAUAGAUGGACCCGCGCCGUAUUAGCUAGUUGGUAAGGUAACGGCUUACCAAGGCGACGAUACGUAGCCGACCUGAGAGGGGGGUCGGCCACACUGGAACUGAGACACGGUCCAGACGCCUACGGGAGGCAGCAGUAGGGAAUCUUCCGCAAUGGGCGAAAGCCUGACGGAGCAACGCCGCGUGAGUGAUGAAGGGUUUCGGCUCGUAAAACUCUGUUAUUAGGGAAGAACAAAUGUGGAAGUAACUGUGCACAUCUUGACGGUACCUAAUCAGAAAGCCACGGCUAACUACGUG